rnacentral:rRNA from 1 species
UACGUAGGGUGCAAGCGUUAAUCGGAAUUACUGGGCGUAAAGCGUGCGCAGGCGGUUAUGUAAGACAGUUGUGAAAUCCCCGGGCUCAACCUGGGAACUGCAUCUGUGACUGCAUAGCUAGAGUACGGUAGAGGGGGAUGGAAUUCCGCGUGUAGCAGUGAAAUGCGUAGAUAUGCGGAGGAACACCGAUGGCGAAGGCAAUCCCCUGGGCCUGUACUGACGCUCAUGCACGAAAGCGUGGGGAGCAAACAGG